AUGGUGGUGUGGAAGAAUUGUGCCGCCCAAGUGCAAGUUCUUUGUGUGCUAGUUAUCAAGGAUAGAAUCUGGACGGCUAACAAACUGCAAAGAAGAGGGUGGCCCAACUGCAAUUUGUGUCAACUUUGCAAGAGGGAGCCAGCGACCGCAGAUCAUCUUCUCUUCCAAUGCAGGUUCUCUAAAUACAUUUGGAAUGCGAUCAAAGUUUGGGUGGAUGCCCCUGAACUGGAUGUGACGGCCUGGAACGGGAUCCCCAUGGUCAAAGACUAGUGGUCGGCAGUGGUCCUUAGGCGUGGCCACACGAGGAAGGCGAUUUCAUCACUCAUCAUGCUUGUUACUUGGGAAGUGUGGAAAGAGAGAAACGUGAGGGUGUUCCAGCAUGUAUGUAUGUUGCCAAACAUGUUGAUCGAGGCUAUUAAAGCAGAGGCGGGGCUCUAG
rnacentral:rRNA from 1 species